rnacentral:ribozyme from 2 species
CUUCUAAUGCGGCCUAUUGUCGGUCUCAAGCCCGAAGAAAAAGUGAGGCAGAGAGAAAG